AUUUCAUUAGUAAAAGUUAUUAUUAUAUUAUCUUGAUGAGGUAAAGUUCAAUGAAAUAG
rnacentral:tRNA from 1 species